CAGUCGCCGCGGGAAUACGUAGGUGGCAAGCGUUGUCCGGAAUUAUUGGGCGUAAAGGGCUCGCAGGCGGUUUCUUAAGUCUGGUGUGAAAGCCCCCGGCUCAACCGGGGAGGGUCAUUGGAAACUGGGAAACUUGAGUGCAGAAGAGGAGAGUGGAAUUCCACGUGUAGCGGUGAAAUGCGUAGAGAUGUGGAGGAACACCAGUGGCGAAGGCGACUCUCUGGUCUGUAACUGACGCUGAGGAGCGAAAGCGUGGGGAGCGAACAGGAUUAGAUACCCGGGUAGUCCCUGUCUCUUAUAC
rnacentral:rRNA from 1 species